CACCGUUUCUUUACCCAAUCAGGUUGGGAUUUGUUUGCUUCUUCUUCACCUCUUCCCACCUUCCACCGCUUCCAUUUUCCUUCCAAUUGAUUUAGAUCCUUCUAGUAUCCCUGCCUCCGAUUUCUUCCGAUCAUCUCUAUCUCCAGUCCUUCUUUAACCCUCUGCUUUCAACCACCACGUAAACCCAAUUGAUCUUCAAGAAAGCUACCGAAAUAUACCAUCUCCAAGCUUUCAACUUGACCGACGAAAGGAAAUUGGAUGUAGAUGGUAAGUUAUGGACCACCGCUCAUAUACAAGGUAUGUGCCUUCGAUUGUACCGACAUGCAACACCACCGCAUGUUUCCUUUCCAUCAAAUUUUUUCCUUUUUUAAAAAGGCUAUAAUCUCAGCCACCACCUUUAACCUUCAACACGAGAAAACCACCACUCAUCGAUCACCACAUUUCCAUUCCGCAGUUCGACUGACCACGUCUGCUCUUGCUUCAUGUUUGGCCCGAUUUAGGUGAUUUCUGACCCAAUUCUGUUCGAUAUUAACGUCGAACUACCCGGAUGAUAUUGCUGAAAGGGGAACUAACUAGAUGAUGUUGCUUUAUGUUUUCAGCAGAAGCAAUUUCAUAUAGCAAUCAUGUCAUCGUCGCCUUAUUGGUAGCGAUUGAACGGAUAAGAAUAUUAUUGUUCCAGGUCUCUCCAACACACAACUAAGUUUUACAUGUUCUGAUUUUUGUUGCUUUCUUUCCAUUUCUAGGGCAAAACAGGUGACUGUCCCUGUUUCUGAUUUCGUUCUUCAUCUGCUAAUUUCAUCGAUUUUCUUUUUCUAUUACGUUGGCAAUGAUCACAAAUUAGACUUAAUUAAUCGGAUUGCUGUGAAAUGUUAUCCCAAGAACAUGUUCCAAGGACCAACUUCAAAUACAAGGGAGAAAUGACAUUUUUUCAUACGUAUUCAGGGGACUUUAUACUGAAGACAUAGAUACUCCUACAACAAUGAUUGUCUAUGUAAAUCAUGCCGACUUCGUUGUAUUAUCUUUUGGUUUUGGUGUUUAUUCAGGUGUUAAUUAGUUUCAUCUCAAUUCCUUUAGUUUUUUUGGUUAUUUUAAUGAGUUUAUCUCAUGUUGCAGUUUGAAUAAGAUGAGGAUUGACAUUAAUUUGUUGCAUUAACAUCAUCAGGGUUGUUGAAUAGCGACAUGGUUCUUCCUGUCUUACAAGGACAUAUCUGUUAUUGAUGCUUUCAACUUGAAAUUAAUUAAUCAGUAUAUGAUUCCUUUGUUUUGUUUGUAAGGUACUUUUGAUGGUAACUCCAUAAAGGUAGCCGAGUUAUUGUUCAACAAUGGGUUCAAAGAGGCUUAUGUUAUCUGAGGUGGAGUUAGUGGCAACAACGAAUGGCUGGUAUCAUUCACUUUUUUCUUUAUGCAUCAUUUUUAGACAUCAAUUUUUAGCAAAGAUUCUGAAGAAAAUAAAGACUUGAUUUCAUCCCCGAAAAAGAAAGAAAUCGAUACUUUGGGAACGUUUCACAAUAGAUUAACAGUAGAACUCUAUUAGAAAAACAUUUUACGUAUGUUAUCAAUAAAUCAUAGACAUGAGGUAGGGUUAAGCUUAAGCAACUAUAAGUAGCCUUUGAAACGAACCUAUAAUAAUAAUUUUUUCAAGGGGUACCAAUUAUAAAACAAAAUGAUAUCGAUCUCUUUUUAAUUUGACAAUUUUGGUGAAGGAAUUUUCUCAAAUUACUAUUUAAUGAUGGAAGCAUUCAAAUAGGAGAAUAUUUGAACAAAGUAUGUGUUUAAUUUAUCGUAAGUUUUGGGUAGUUGGAUACUCAGGUGGAAGCAUACAUACAUGGGCUACACUCAAGUACAUUCCUGAUAGCAGGUAUUUCACCAUUUUUUAAAUCAAAUACUUUUUUUAAUCUGAUUAUCUUGAAUUGAGUAUGUAAUUUUUUAUGUUCAAAUCAAAUCCAAAAAUUCUUUUGUGGUUAAAAUUGACUGAUUUUAGCAGCAAAAAAAAUACAUAUAAUUUUUGUUAUCGUUAAUAGUUUUGUUACUAAACUGUCCCUGUGUAAAGUUAUUUUGUUCAUAUUUUAAUUUUGCUGAAAUACCAGUCUGCCCCUGCACUCAAAUAUGCCUCAGUGGAGUAAAAUGGGACAGUGUUUGGAGUUUUUUAUGUUCAAAUUGAAUGGAAUUUUUUUUUUUAAAAUUAAAAUUGACUGAUUUUAUCAAUAAAAAUUAUUUUUUGUUUAUUGUUAAUAGUUUGUGACUGAACUACCCUUAUGUUAUGUUUUCUUUUUGUUUAUAUUUCAAUUUUGUUGAAAGACCAAUUUGCCCCUGCGUUCAAAUAUGUCAAAGUACAGUAAAAUUGGAUAAUGUCUGCAGUUUUUUUAUGUUCAAAUUGAAUACAUAGUUUUUUUUGGUUAAAAUUGAUUGAUUUUAGUAGUACAAAAGUACAUAUUUUUUUGACUAAACUACCAAUGUAUAGUUUUUUGUUCAUAUUUCAACUUUGCUGAAAGACCAAUGUGACCCUACAUUUAAAUAUGUCACAGUACAGUAAAAAAAAUACAUAUUUUUUGGUUAAAGUUGAAUGAUUUGAACAGUCAAAUAAUACAUAUUUUUUUUUUAUCAUUAAUAGUUUGAAACUAAACUAUCUUUGUGUAAGGUUUUCUUUUUAAACAUGGCACUAUAACUUCAAAUUCGAUUACACAUUCGCUUUUCAAUGCAACAAUUAGCAAUGUACUUUAUAUUCUAAAAAUAUUGCAUAAUCUACUCAAUUAUGGCGAUGUAUUUUCAAUUUUUAUAAUAUGAUCGUUUUUAAAAUAUGAUAGGGAAACAAAAAAAAUUACAAAAUUAUAAAAUUACCCUUUUCCCCUUUGAACCAGAUAUAUAAGUAACCAUUUUUUUAUCUGUGUUGGUGAAAAUGAAUUUCUAGAGUAAACAGAUCACAUUGAUAUAUAAUGCUUAUUCUGCUCUCUAUCUUCCAAUAACAUCAAACCAUUCACCAACAAAAGAAAUAAAAAAAAUGGGUAGAUAAAAUUAAAGAUUGAUAUAUUUUCAUGGAGAAAAAAAUUUCAAACAGAAAUAGCCCUUGAGAGAGCAAAGUAAGUAACAUAUUUUAUGUAAUCUAUCUUAGAUAUAUUUAUUUAUCUCAAACUACUGUUGCUACUACUAUACGAGUUUUGGAACUAUUUGUUGUUUACCAUUUCUCAUAGAGAGCAACAUAGAAGCUUCUUAAAGGUAUAAUGUCCUUAUAACUGUUCUCUAUUCAUAUAAUCCACUUCAGUCAUUGAUUCUUUUUGUUUUCAUGCUUAGAUGUCCCAAAGUCCAAACUCCGUUGUUCAAACCUUGAGCAUUCUUUGUUUCUGUAAACCUUAAUUUAUGUGGUUCAAGUUAUUUAACCCAUUUUAUUCCAACCCUUCAACAGAAUCAACAAAAAUAAAAAACACCAGGUGUUACAAAAGGCCGAAAAGGAUGUUUCAGUUGUGAAGGUUCAGUAUAUAGAUCAAUUAGUAAAUCAUUGAUUUGAAAAGUACUACUAACAAAUAACUAAGUGUUUGUUUUUGUUCAUUCACCCUUUACAAAAAAGGCAAACUUUUUAGAGUUUGUUGUUAUAAGUGAUUUAAAGUUGAUGUAGAAAAAGUAUAAAAAACCAAGUUGUAAUUCAAAGAUUGUUUUUCAGGUUUGAUAAUGCAAGUUAACGUUUUUUUUAAUAUGAUUUUUGCCUAAGCCCUCAUAAUGGAUGUAUCUCUAAAUAAUAAUGCAAAAACUAAGAAUUGCUUCAUUCAUUCCCUUGAAGAAUGGAGAAAAGCCAAAAAACUUGAUAAGUUUAUAUUGCUUGGGCAUUCUUUUGGAGGAUAUGUUGUAUCUAAAGUUGUUGAAGACCCAAAUAGUGACCAACUCAGGUAGGAAUUUUGUAACAACAUAACACUAUUAUGAUGUGACACUCAGGGAAAUAAAUAUUGUUAUUUGUUAAUGUAUUUAUCAUAACUUGGUUGUGUGGUGUUUCAGAUAUAAGAUGUGUGGUGUUAGGGUGGCUACGUCUGCGUCUCGCAUAAGAAUAGUAUCUUUUGCACAUCCUAUACCAGAAGAGAAGGACAAGGGAAUUACUUCAAACUACAAUGCAUUAAUAAGUAAACAGUUUUAACUCCAAUGGUGUAAACAAGUGUCCAGUUAUUGUGUGAGAAUUUACUCAUUUUUGUACAGUAUGUCUGUAGCAUAUACAUGAUAUACCAUGGUUGUAGCAUAUACAUGAUCAGUUAUAUAGUGGUUACUAUUGAAUAAAGAGAUGCUUCAGGAAAUGGAAUACAGUUCUAAAUCG